GUGGCACAGUGGUUAAAGCACUUGGUUGCUAACCAAGAGGUCGGUGGUUGGAACCCUCCC
rfam:Loxodonta africana unplaced genomic scaffold scaffold_12, whole genome shotgun sequence.